GACGAACGCUGGCGGCGUGCCUAAUACAUGCAAGUAGAACGCUGAAGGAGUAGCUUGCUUCUCUGGAUGAGUUGCGAACGGGUGAGUAACGCGUAGGUAACCUGCCUGGCAGCGGGGGAUAACUAUUGGAAACGAUAGCUAAUACCGCACAAUAUUGACUAUUGCAUGAUAGUCAGUUGAAAGGUGCAACUGCACCACUACCAGAUGGACCUGCGUUGUAUUAGCUAGUUGGUGGGGUAACGGCUCACCAAGGCGACGAUACAUAGCCGACCUGAGAGGGUGAUCGGCCCAACUGGGACUGAGACACGGCCCAGACUCCUACGGGAGGCAGCAGGAGGGAAUCAUCGGCAAAGGGCGGAAGUCUGAACGAGCACCGCCGGGGGAGGGAAGGAGGGUUUCGGAUCGGAAAGGUCUGUUGUAAGAGAAGAACGAGUGUGAGGGUGGAAAGCUCACACUGUGACGGUAUCUUAACAGAAAGGGACGGCUAACUACGUG
rnacentral:rRNA from 1 species